GGGGCGGGGGGAGCAGCAACGGCGCCGCCCGGGCCCCCCUUGCCUCAUCCCUCCGUCUAGCCCCGAGAUGUGGAGGAGCGGGACCUUGGAUGGUGAUCUAAGGGCGAGAGGGAGAAGUUAAAACCCACCGGGCCGAGAAGGGUAGAUGAGGAACUUAAAGCGUCCGGCGUCCCACCUCCGCCGCCGGUCGCGGCCCCUUUAAGAAGGAGCCACCGUCUCGAAUUGAACGGGGGAAGGGAAAGGAAAGCGGGAAAGACGGAACCACCGGGAAGUACCGAGGGAGGACCGGAAACCGAAGCGCAAACCGUCCCCUCUCGCCGACUUAUCCGUCAGGAGCAGAAAAAAUAAAUAAAGCCGUAGGGAUCGUCCCCAUCGAAGACGGCCGGCUUAAACUUUCCUGGGGCUUAGCCCCCUCUCAACGGCCCCUCCCCACGUCCUACCCGGGCUUCUCCCGGUGUAAACAGUCCCGUGAAUCAAACCCAGGAGAGCCCGGCGGGACGACCCAGACCCCCGGGGACAGCGGGCGAAGGGAAACCGGCUAAAAGAUCGGCUUCCGAGGACGACAGGCGGAGGCCCCGGUGACGCCCCCGGGACUACGGUGGGGCGCCGGGGCUCCCGCUUCGGCCCUCCCUUCCUCCCUCCACUCCCUCUUACCUGGCCGGCGCUGUUCCUCUUCCGGGCGAACCGGUUCCCCCUUGGAGCCCGCGCCGGAGGAUGGUCCGUUCCGAGCCGGGCUUGUCUGCAGAGCCGGGUAGGGCGCGAGGCGGGGAGCCUGGCUGAGCGUGUAGCGCGUCGCGGCGCUGCUCUUGUGAUGACAGCAACGCUCCCGGGGGAGGCCUCGGCUUCCAGGUUCCCGUGGCCGUCCCCGAGUUCACGCCAGCUGAGCACUUUACGUAACCUCUUUAUGUAAGCUGCACCUCCCGCCGCCGCUCUGGUCAGCGGAGAUUCCUGGUGGCCCAUCCCCCAGGAGGCCAGCGGAGAGCCGCGCCGCCUCUCUGCAGCCGAGGUAGACCCAGCCGCCGCGACAGCCCGGAACCAAUCACUGGCGAGAACACCCAGCCAACAAAAAGAGCGCGCCAAAAUCCCGCGAUUUGUACCGAGGGCCUUCGCGAGGCGCCUGCACUCCGCAAACGCCUUUCCGGACUUGACCUGCAUCGUACCUCUACGCCCGCACUCGGCACUUGAUGCUGAUUGGGGGAAUGGCUUAGGUGUAAUCGAUUCACAGCUGAGACCAGGGUUAGAACGCUAAUCUCCACGCCCACUAAUGACCCCAAUGAUCUCAGCCGCACUUAAUCCUCAGUAUCCUUCUCUGCCAAACCCGGGUGGUCCGCACUUCCAAGGUUGCAAAGGACCAAGUGAAAUAUGAUGGCUGGCUAAUUGAGUGCCUGAUAUAAGCUGCUUUGGGCUUGGAUUUUGAUACCCUUCACCCCGGCCGCCCAUUGUGGUGGGAGGGAGCACAAUGGCUGUGUAGUUAAGAAUGAUCUUGAACUUUUCCUCUUGUCUUCAUCUCCCGAGUAAUGGGAUUAAAGGCGGGCACCACCACACCCAAUUUAUACACCCUAUUUGUUUGUACAGAGCUAGGAAUCCAAGGGUUUUGUGCAUGCUAGACAGGCACUUUACAAAGCUACAUCUCCAGCCCCUAGGCGUGGUUUUUUAAAGUAUUUUGUACCCUGCUUUGUACUCCAAUGCCUAGAAGGUGCCCAGUAUUUUGUUAGCUGAUAUUGAAGGACAGUAACUAGAGUUUCUGCUACACACUAUUUUAAGUCUGGGGAAAAAGGAGUAGACACGACAGUCUUUGCCUUAAUUGCGACUCUUGACACUGGAGGAGACAGUCAACCUUGUGUCUUCGUAGAUGUCUCACAGUUAAAGUACUUAGAACAGUGUUAAAAUACACACAAGACAGAUUAAAUGUAAUGUAAAACAAUAAACAAGAGUUUCUAGAAUUUC
rnacentral:lncRNA from 1 species